rnacentral:rRNA from 1 species
UCAGGCGAAUAAGGGCUGUUGGGGGAUGCCUAUGGCACCAUAAGGCGAUGAAGGUCGUGGUAAGCUGCGAAAAGCCACGGGGAGUUGCAAACAAACAUUGAUCCGUGGAUUACCGAAUGGGGAAACCCAUAUAGAGUAAUGUCUAUGUAUCAACAUAAGAUAAGGUAUUAUGUUGAGGCUAAACCAGGAGAAUUGAACCAUCUAAGUACCCUGAGGAGAAGAAAUCAAAAGAGAUUCCGAAAGUAGCGGCGAGCGAAAUUGGAAGAGCCCAAACCUAUGUUGCUUGCAAUAUAGGGGUAGUAGGACUCCAAUAAGUAAAUAUUAUUGAUAGUAGAAUAAUCUGGAAAGAUUAACCAAAGAAGGUGAAAGUCCUGUAUAUGAAAUUGAUAAUAUUUAUUAGGAGUAUCCUGAGUACAACCGGACACUUGGAAUCUGGUUGGAAUCUGGGUGGACCACCAUCCAAGGCUAAAUACUAUAUGGUGACCGAUAGUGAAGAAGUACCGUGAGGGAAAGGUGAAAAGAACCCCGAGAGGGGAGUGAAAUAGAACCUGAAACCAACAGUCUACAAGCCGUAGGAACGAAAGUGACUGCGUGCCUUUUGCUUAAUGAUCCGGCGAGUUAUUGUAUGUAGCAAGGUUAAGUGAGAAUAAUCACGAAGCCGAAGGGAAACCGAGUCCGAAUAGGGCGAAUUAAGUUGCAUGCAAUAGACCCGAAGCCUCUUGAUCUAUCUAUGUCCAGGUUGAAGCUUGGGUAAAACCAAGUGGAGGACCGAACUCACUGGUGUUGAAAAACCAGGGGAUGAGGUGUAGAUAGGGGUGAAAGGCCAAACAAAAGUGGCGAUAGCUGGUUCUCUCCGAAAUAGUUUUAGGACUAGCCUUAUAUGUUUAGUUUAGGUGGUAGAGCACUGAUUGGACUAGGGCCCUUCACCGGGUACCAAACCCAGACAAACUCCGAAUGCCUAAACUUUAGAAUAUAGGAGUCAGACAGUGUGCUAUAAGGUUCAUUGUCGAGAGGGAAAUAGCCCAGACCAUCAGCUAAGGUUCCAAAUUAUAUGCUAAGUGGUAAAGGAUGUGAGACGGCAAAGACAGCCAGGAGGUUGGCUUAGAAGCAGCCAUUCCUUUAAAGAGUGCGUAAUAGCUCACUGGUCGAGUUGUUUUGCGCCGAUAAUGUAACGGAGCUAAAGCAUAUAACCGAAGCUAUGGACUUCAUAGAAAUAUGGAGUGGUAGGAGAGCGUUGUGUAAGCCGAUGAAGCAAAACUGAAAAGUUUUGUGGAGGUAUCACAAGUGAAGAUGCCGGAAUGAGUAACGAAAAAACCGAUGAAAAAUCGGUUCGCCGAAAGCUCAAGGUUUCCUGGGUAAAGGUAAUCUGCCCAGGGUUAGUCGGCCCCUAAGGUGAGGCUGAAAAGCGUAACUGAUGGGAAACUGGUAUAUAUUCCAGUACCUGGUAUAAUAACGAUGGAAUGACACAGAAGGUGAGUCUGAACCCGGGUGUUGGUUCUCGGGGGAGAAGACGAGGUGAUGAGAGAGGUAGUCAAAUGCGCCUCUUGAGCUAAGUCUUUGAAGGAGUGAAGCUACGGCGGAACGAAGUUGGAUAAUCAUGCUGUCAAGAAAUAAUUCCUAAGUAUAUAUUAUGCCAGACCGUACUGUAAACCGACACAGGUGAGCGGGAUGAAGAUUCUAAGGCGCUCGGGAUAACUAUCGUUAAGGAACUCGGCAAAUUGCAUCCGUAACUUCGGAAGAAGGAUGGCCUAUCCGGAAGGGUAGGUUGCAGAGAAAUGGCUCAAGCGACUGUUUAUCAAAAACACAGGACUCUGCGAACGCGCAAGCGGAAGUAUAGGGUCUGACACCUGCCCGGUGCUGGAAGGUCAAGAGGAGGGGUUAGCCGUAAGGCGAAGCUCUGAAUUUAAGCCCCAGUAAACGGCGGCCGUAACUAUAACGGUCCUAAGGUAGCGAAAUUCCUUGUCGGGUAAGUUCCGACCUGCACGAAAGGUGUAACGACUUGAGCACUGUCUCAACGAUAGACCCGGUGAAAUUGGAGUAGCGGUGAAGAUACCGCUUAACCAUGACUAGACGGAAAGACCCCAUGAACCUUUACUGUAACCUGAUAUUGAUAUUUGGUAUAGGAUGUGUAGGAUAGGUGGGAGACUGUGAAGCAGGUACGCUAGUAUCUGUGGAGUCGACGUUGAAAUACCACCCUUCUUGUACUAAAUAUCUAACUAUUAGCGUGAAACCGGUAAUAGGACAUUGUCAGGCGGGCGGUUUGACUGGGGCGGUCGCCUCCUAAAGAGUAACGGAGGCGCGCAAAGGUUCCCUCAGCAUGAUUGGAAACCAUGCGUAGAGUGUAAAGGCAUAAGGGAGCUUGACUGUGAGACUGACAAGUCGAGCAGGUACGAAAGUAGGUCUUAGUGAUCCGGCGGUAGCGUGUGGAAGCGCCGUCGCUUAACGGAUAAAAGGUACUCUGGGGAUAACAGGCUGAUCUUGCCCAAGAGUUCAUAUCGACGGCAAGGUUUGGCACCUCGAUGUCGGCUCAUCGCAUCCUGGGGCUGGAGAAGGUCCCAAGGGUUUGGCUGUUCGCCAAUUAAAGCGGUACGUGAGCUGGGUUCAGAACGUCGCGAGACAGUUCGGUCCCUAUCUGUCAUGGUCGUUGGAUAUUUGAGAGGAUCUGCUUCUAGUACGAGAGGACCGAAGUGGACAAACCGCUGGUGUACCAGUUGUCUUGCCAAAGGCAUCGCUGGGUAACUAUGUUUGGAAGGGAUAACCGCUGAAAGCAUCUAAGUGGGAAACCCACCUCAAGAUGAGAUAUCCCUGAGGAUUUAUUCCUCCUAAAGAACCGUUCAAGAUUAGGACGUUGAUAGGCUACAGGUGUAAGCGUAGCAAUAUGUUUAGCCAAGUAGUACUAAUAGUUCGUGAGGCCUGACCAU